rnacentral:tRNA from 1 species
GGUAAGGCAACGGGUUUUGGUCCCGUUACUUGGAGGUUUGAAUCCUUCCGUCCCAGA